ACGACCUUACUUGAACAGGAUCUGUUCUAUAGGCUCGUACCUCUGAAUCCUUGAGUUCUAAAAAAUAAUUAUCUCU
rnacentral:snoRNA from 1 species